AUGACGACAUCAUCAUCAGUGAGGAUGACUUCGAUAGGAGGUGGCAGUGAAGAUUGCUCCAAUGGUCAUCAGGAUGACGACGGUGGCUGUGUACUCCUCGACACCUAAGGAGGAGAUCCUUGCCUCGACUGCUUCAACGGUCGAAAAAGUCCACCAGGCCUGGAUUCCAGCUUCUUCUUGACAGCACGUCGGAGGGAUUCAGUCGAGAUCCUCAUGCCUACAAGACAAUAUCAAAAAAUGAGUUAGUCUACAAUAAAGAAAAGAGAAGAGAACUAUAACGAUCUAUAGAAG
rnacentral:lncRNA from 1 species